GACGAACGCUGGCGGCGUGCUUAACACAUGCAAGUCGAACGGAAAGGCCCUGCUUUUGUGGGGUGCUCGAGUGGCGAACGGGUGAGUAACACGUGAGUAACCUGCCCUUGACUUUGGGAUAACUUCAGGAAACUGGGGCUAAUACCGGAUAGGAGCUCCUGCUGCAUGGUGGGGGUUGGAAAGUUUCGGCGGUUGGGGAUGGACUCGCGGCUUAUCAGCUUGUUGGUGGGGUAGUGGCUUACCAAGGCUUUGACGGGUAGCCGGCCUGAGAGGGUGACCGGCCACAUUGGGCCUGCGAUACGGCCCAGACUCCUACGGGCGGCAGCAGUGGGGAGUAUUGCACAAUGGGCGGAAGCCUGAUGCAGCAACGCCGCGUGCGGGAUGACGGCCUUCGGGUUGUAAACCGCUUUCGCCUGUGACGAAGCGUGAGUGACGGUAAUGGGUAAAGAAGCACCGGCUAACUACGUG
rnacentral:rRNA from 1 species